UGGGGAAUAUUGCACAAUGGGCGCAAGCCUGAUGCAGCCAUGCCGCGUGUAUGAAGAAGGCCUUCGGGUUGUAAAGUACUUUCAGCGGGGAGGAAGGGAGUAAAGUUAAUACCUUUGCUCAUUGACGUUACCCGCAGAAGAAGCACCGGCUAACUCCGUGCCAGCAGCCGCGGUAAUACGGAGGGUGCAAGCGUUAAUCGGAAUUACUGGGCGUAAAGCGCACGCAGGCGGUUUGUUAAGUCAGAUGUGAAAUCCCCGGGCUCAACCUGGGAACUGCAGCUGAUACUGGCAAGCUUGAGUCUCGUAGAGGGGGGUAGAAUUCCAGGUGUAGCGGUGAAAUGCGUAGAGAUCUGGAGGAAUACCGGUGGCGAAGGCGGCCCCCUGGACGAAGACUGACGCUCAGGUGCGAAAGCGUGGGGAGCAAACAGG
rnacentral:rRNA from 2 species